rnacentral:tRNA from 1 species
GAGGGUAUAGCUCAGAGGUAGAGUGUGUGCUUAGCAUGCAUGAGUCCUGGGUUCAGCCCCCAGCACCUCCA